GGUGCAUUCGUCUAGUGGUCUAGGACGCUGGCCUCUCACGCCGGAAACUCGGGUUCGAACCCCGGACGCACUA
rnacentral:tRNA from 1 species